UUUUUUUUUUUUUUUUUUUUUUUUUUUUAACGUAUAAAUCCAGUUCUUUCAACACCAUUCAUGGAGAAUUUAUUCCCCUACCCCCACCUCAACACUAUGCUGCUUUGGAACCCACUUAGAAGAUCAAGUAGUUGGUGUUUGGAUUAAACCAACUUUGCAUUUCCAGAAGGAACUCCACUUAGUAAUGGUAUAAUCCUUUAUGUGGACUAUUUGUUGGAUUUGGUUUGGUGAUCUUUUGCUAAGAAUUCUUGUUAUCUAUUUCCAUGAAGGAAAUAUGGUUCUUUUCUUUGUGACGUCUGACAUAGGUACCAUUACUUACAGCUUCCUUAGUAGCGACCUUAGAAUGAUGUGAGAAAUGCUCCCUCUUCCUCUAUUUUUUGAGUUUGUAUAGAAUUGAUGUUAUUUCUUAUCUAAAUAUUUGGUAGAAUUCAACAUCAGAGUCAUGUGUACCUGAGCUUUGUUUUAUGGAAAAUUUAUAAAUUACGAAUUCAAGUUCUUUGUUUGUCUAAGUCUUUUCAGAUUUUAAAAUUUCUUUUUCAGUAGUUUUUCUAAUUUUAGUCUUUCAAAGAAUGUGUCUAUUUCACCUAUGNUCCAUUUUUUUCCUUUUGUUAGUCUAGGUAAAUGCUUUUAAAUUUAUCGAUCUUUUAAAAUAACUGAAUUUUGGUUUAAUUGAUGUUCCUAAUUUUUUUCUUUUAAUAUUUUAUUAAUUUCUGCUCUGACUUUACUAUUUUCUUCCUUCUGAAUGAUUUGGGUUUAAAUUUACUUUUUUUUAACUCUUACGGUUAAACCUUAGAUUAAUGAUUUGUGACAUUUCUUCUUUUAUUUUAAUGCAAGUGUUAGGAGAAAUAAAUUUUCCUCUAAGCACUGUCUUUACUGCACCCAUAAAUUUUUUUUUUGUCUUUUUGCCUUUUCUAGGGCCGCUCCCGCGGCAUAUGGAAAUUCCCAGGCUAGGGGUCGAAUUGGAGCUUGGCCUUAGAAAUGGCAAAAAAGACAACAAAAAAAAAAAAAGAAAGAAAGAAUUAUGCAGAAUGAAACUUAAUUUCUCCAGAAGUAUAGUCAGGUGUUUUGGCAAUUUGUAACAGAAAUUUUCCAACAGUUAGUGUAAGCCAUUUGAGGAGAGACUGAGAUACACCCAUGACGUGAAAGCAGGUAUGCUAGAAACUAAAACUAUUUUCGCUCACUGUCACAUUCAAAUAGACAUGCUCUGGGGAAAGAGGCAUUAUUGUGUCUUCAGGCUGGAAAAAGAAAGAGUCAAAGGUACUUCUAGAGCUAGCUCAGUCUGAAAUUUUCUAUUCUGGUGAGAUCGGUGUGGGAGAGUUGAAGGGACAGAAGAAACGGUGGAAUCAGAGAGUAGGAAACGACGCUGUGCCACAUCUUGUCCAGCAGUCACAAGAGUGGGGAGACUGGAAGGUUCCUUGCUCAAGUGCAUAUGUGUCUCAGAUUGUGAUGAGGGGGGGUCCUGAUGCCCAGAAGAAUGUAUUUUCCUAUUGUUUUCGGAUGACGUUCUAAUCAUUUUGAUUUGCAGCAGUAGCUUGUUCCUUUCCUGGGACCAAUGUAUAGCAAAGAGUGGC
rnacentral:lncRNA from 1 species